rnacentral:lncRNA from 1 species
UCGGAUUCCUGCCGCCUUGCGCCAGUGGUCCCUAAUGUGACUGAAAAGCCUACUCAGCAAGCACGGAUUGAGCAUCUUAAACGGAAAGUGGAAAUGGCUGAAGCUGAAAACAAAAAGCUUCGCAAGGCAUUGGGUUCCCGAAAGCAUAUAAAAUGAGAUGUUCCCUUAGUUUCAAUGUUUAGGAAGUUUGAUUUCAAUUUUUAAAUUAGGGGAUUUGCUUUCAAUUCU